rnacentral:rRNA from 1 species
GGACCAAGGAGUCCAGCGAACGAGCGUGACGCAAAGGUUCAUUUUAUUGAAUCCGUCAAACUUAACGAAAGCGAUUUGAGCAAAGAAGAAAAAUUUGAACAUAUGUAUAGAUGAGACGUGUUCUCGAUUGAUUGAUAUUCAUUUAUCUAUCUAUCUACAUGUCUAGGCAAAUCGGAGAUGGCAACUAUAUACGUGGGCGCGCGCGUUCGUCAGCAAUGAUGGGCGCGUGUUGUGCGCGUAUUGCCGUACUCGUAGCUCGUGCUCUGGAACCCGAAAGAUGGUGAACUAUGCAUGGAAAGGAUGAAGCCAGGGGAAACUCUGGUGGAGGUCCGCAAUGGUUCUGACGUGCAAAUCGAUCAUCAGAACUAUGUAUAGGGGCGAAAGACCAAUCGAAUCAUCUAGUAGCUGGUUCCUUUCGAAGUUUCCCUAAGGAUAGCUGAGGUCUAGUAACGAUAGUCACAUGCGGUAAAGCGAAUGAUUAGAGUCGUUGGGUUCGAAACGUUCUCAACCUAUUCUCAAACUGUUAAUGUGUGUGCUUUCCAUUAGCUAGCGUGCCAGCUAUAAUAUAUAUAUUUAUAUAUGUAUGUAGUAUGUAGCUAAUGGAUAGAUAGUAAAGGCCUUUAGUGGGCCAUUUUUGGUAAGCAGAACUGGCGAUGCGGGAUGAACCGGUCGUAAAGUUAUAGUGCCAAAAUCAACGCAUAUCGGACCCCACAAAAGGCGUUAGUAACUAAAGACAGCAGGACGGUGGCCAUGGAAGUCGGC